rnacentral:rRNA from 1 species
UACGUAGGGGGCAAGCGUUGUCCGGAGUUACUGGGCGUAAAGCGCCCGCAGGCGGUUUUUCAAGUGUGAGGUGACAGCUCUUCGCUUAACGAGGGGAGUGCCUCGCAGACUGAGGGACUUGAGGGCCAGAGAGGGACAUGGAACUCCGGGUGGAGUGGUGAAAUGCGUAGAGAUCCGGAAGAACACCAAAGGCGAAGGCAGUGUCCUGGCUGGUACCUGACGCUCAGGGGCGAAAGCGAGGGGAG